GAUCUUAGAUUUGGUUUGAUAUUAGAUUGCAAAUCUAAAGGAGUAUGUUUUAUAUACUAAGAUCU
rnacentral:tRNA from 1 species